GAAAAGAAACCAACAGGGAUUGCCCUAGUAACGGCGAGUGAAGCGGCAACAGCUCAAAUUUGAAAUCUGGCGUCUUUGGCGUCCGAGUUGUAAUUUGCAGAGGGCGCUUUGGCAUUGGCAGCGGUCCAAGUUCCUUGGAACAGGACGUCACAGAGGGUGAGAAUCCCGUACGUGGUCGCUAGCCUUUACCGUGUAAAGCCCCUUCGACGAGUCGAGUUGUUUGGGAAUGCAGCUCUAAAUGGGAGGUAAAUUUCUUCUAAAGCUAAAUACUGGCCAGAGACCGAUAGCGCACAAGUAGAGUGAUCGAAAGAUGAAAAGCACUUUGGAAAGAGAGUUAAAAAGCACGUGAAAUUGUUGAAAGGGAAGCGCUUGCAGCCAGACUUGCCUGUAGUUGCUCAUCCGGGUUUCUACCCGGUGCACUCUUCUACGGGCAGGCCAGCAUCAGUUUGGGCGGUUGGAUAAAGGUCUCUGUCAUGUACCUCCUCUCGGGGAGAUCUUAUAGGGGAGACGACAUGCAACCAGCCUGGACUGAGGUCCGCGCAUCUGCUAGGAUGCUGGCGUAAUGGCUGUAAGCGGCCCGUCUUGAAACACGGACCAAGGAGUCUAACAUCUAUGCGAGUGUUUGGGUGUCAAGCCCGAGCGCGUAAUGAAAGUGAACGGAGGUGGGAACCUUUCGGGGUGCACCAUCGACCGAUCCUGAUGUCUUCGGAUGGAUUUGAGUAAGAGCAUAGCUGUUGGGACCCGAAAGAUGGUGAACUAUGCUUGAAUAGGGUGAAGCCAGAGGAAACUCUGGUGGAGGCUCGCAGCGGUUCUGACGUGCAAAUCGAUCGUCAAAUUUGGGCAUAGGGGCGAAAGACUAAUCGAACUAUCUAGUAGCUGGUUCCUGCCGA
rnacentral:rRNA from 1 species